UGUGACAUUUUGUAUAGCAUGAAGUUAGUGAUUAAAUAAUGUGUUACUACGCUAUGGAUGUGUGGGGACCAGGCACCACAAUCACUGUAACGGCAGCUGAAUCGAAGGGCCCAUCUCUCUUUCCACUUAUUUCUUGCGGCAAGUCACAGGAAACGAGCACCAUCAUUGGCUGUUUUUCCAAAGGUUUCCUUCCUGACUUCAUUGACUUCAGCUGGGUAGAUCAGCUCAGCAAUAACUAUUCCACUGGCUUCAAGAAAUACAAUUCUGUGUUGCAAACUGGAGGAACCUAUGCAGCAAGCUCCCAAAUUAAAGUACCAACAGAAGGCUGGGAGAACAAUGAUUCUUAUUACUGCACUGCAAAACAUUUAGAUAAGAGCGAAUCUGUGGUUCUUCAGUUUCCAAAAGUAAUAGGAAAGGAACCAACAGUAACCAUGCAUCCUCCCAUCAAAGAGGAUGUAGAAUUAAACAACAAUGGCACAAUUUUAUGCUUUGCAAGUGGAUUUCAUCCUAAAGGCAUUACAUUUUUAUGGAAGAAGAACAAUGAAGUGAUUCCUGAAGCCGUAACAGAGGAAGCAGUCUCCAGUGCAAAUGGAAAUUUUAUGAUAACUUCCUAUAUUGUAGUAACUAAACAAGAUUGGGAUACAGAUGCAACAUUCUCAUGUAUAGUAAAACAUGAUCCCUCUGACUUCCAAGUAAUGAAGAAUGUGAGCAAAUCGACUGUAUGUGAAUCAAACACACCUGGUGGUGAAAUCAAAGUGACUGCCGUGCCUCCUUCAUUUGAAACAAUUUAUUUCCAGAAUACUGCCCCGCUCACCUGCAUUAUUACAAACAUGGAAACCAAAGAUGAAUUAAAUGUCACCUGGUAUGCAAAUAAUGAAAAAUUAACCAACACUCAACUAGACGACCCAGUAUAUGACAGUUCAAUACGGAGGUACACUGCCAAAGCCAUUGCUACAGUUUGUCCUGAAGACUGGAGAACAAAGACCUUUAAGUGCAUUGUGAGCCAUCCUCAACUUCCCCAUGUUAAAGUUGUCUCAAUGAAUAAACCAAAUGGACACGAUGCCAAAGCUCCAACAGUUCUAUUAUACUCACCACACCCAGAUGAAUUAGCUAAAAAGGAAACUGCCACUCUGUCAUGUAUGGUUAAAGGCUUCGCCCCACCUGACAUAUUUGUCAAAUGGAUGGAUAGUGAUAACGUAGAGCUGUCUCAUGUUGCAACCACUGGGCCCAUACAGGAGAUCACUUCUUCUAGCAAGAAAACCUACUUUCUCGUAAGCACAUUAACCCUUACAAGUGUUCAAGAAUGGAAUAGUGGAAAAUCAUACACCUGCAUAGUUGGCCAUGAAUCACUACCACUACACACCACCCAAAGGACCACUGACAAAACUGCUGCCCUUAUGAUCUAUAUAGAAGAAGAUGAUGAUAUCGAUAAUCUCUGGACCACGGCUUCCACUUUUAUAGUGCUCUUUCUACUGAGCCUCUUCUACAGUGCAACUGUCACUCUUUUUAAGGUAAAAUAAUUGCAUU